rnacentral:misc_RNA from 1 species
AACGCACAUUGCGCCCGCUAGUACUCUAGCGGGCAUGCCUGUUCGAGCGUCAUUUCAACCCUCAAGCCCUGCUUGGUGUUGGGGCCCUACGGCUGCCGUAGGCCCUGAAAGGAAGUGGCGGGCUCGCUACAACUCCGAGCGUAGUAGAAUCCUAUCUCGCUAGGGAGGUGCGGCGUGCUCCUGCCGUUAAAGACCCCAUCUUUAACCAAGGUUGACCUCGGAUCAGGUAGGAAUACCCGCUGAACUUAA